rnacentral:rRNA from 1 species
GACGUAGGGCGCAAGCGUUGUCCGGAUUUAUUGGGCGUAAAGAGCUCGUAGGCGGCUCAUCGCGUCUGCCGUGAAAACCCGCAGCUCAACUGCGGGCUUGCGGUUGAUACGGGUGGGCUGGAGUUCGGUAGGGGAGACUGGAAUUCCUGGUGUAGCGGUGAAAUGCGUAGAUAUCAGGAGGAACACCGGUGGCGAAGGCGGGUCUCUGGGCAGUAACUGACGCUGAGAAGCGAAAGCGUGGGGAGCGAACAGG